AAUUUCCUCUCUCCAUCCACCCCUGUUGUUCAGGCUUCCCUACAGCUGCCAUUUAUAUAACUCCCAAACUUCUGGAAUUGCAAUCCUGCCUUUGUGUCAUCGUCGUCAUCAUCAUCACAACCACCACCACCACCACCACCACCAUCAUCAUCAUUUCAUCAGAAUGUGAAGUGCACAUGUGAUUAAAGUUUUAACCUAGGAGUUUAUAUUUGUUCACAAUAUCAUGUCAUAAAAUACUCACUACCUCUUAAAUGGAAUCAGAAUGAUAUCUGCCAUAAUGGGGUAUAGUUCCAGUGGGCACCAAAUUACAUCUUAGAGAUUUUGUUAGUUGUCUUUUAUGUAACAAAUGUAAAAUUGUAGUGCAGGUACUGGCAGACUCUAUAAUUCAGCUGUCUGGUACUUUAUCAUUGCUCUCAGUAGGUCUCUAAUGAAUAAUUCUGUAUGCAUGUUACUGACUGAUAAUCAAACUCUGAACAAUUCCUAAUUGGGUUUUUUCAGGGUGCGGAGAAGUGCCUAUAUUAGCUUGGCAGAUGUCCCAAACAAUGUAAAAUGAAAAGCACAAACAUAACAGAUUUCUCUUCCUUUUAUUCUGUGGAAAAUUGUAAGUGAUUUUUUCUGAGUUCCAAGAAUAUAAAAAAGAAAGUAGCACCAGUGUGCAUUGUUGUAUAAAGUACUCACACGGGCCAAGAAAAAAAAAAGAAUAGAAUUAAAUGCAAGAAUAAAAUGAUCGCUACAUGCUAUAUCCCCCCACCCCACCCCUUUAGACCAGUAUGAAUCAGAGGUAACUUUACAAGAUACUAAAGACAUUUGCAUAGAAAUUGUUCCAUUGUGGUUGUGGCCUAGCUAGAUAUUUAUCAUAAAAAUGAUCAGAAUGGCAUCCCACCAGUAACAGUUUAAAGAGUUCACUUGAUUUUUAAAAAAUAAUUUAAACUAAUUAAGACCUUUGUUAAAAUAAGAUUUUUUUGAGACCCUUUAGGUCUUUCAACAUAAGAACUUGGAAAAAUCCAAGGAUGGGUUGUUGUUGUUGUUUUUUCAAUUUCAGGGCCACACAUUUCCAAA
rnacentral:lncRNA from 1 species